GUUGCCUACGGGACGCAGCAGUAGGGAAUCUUCCACAAUGGACGAAAGUCUGAUGGAGCAACGCCGCGUGAGUGAAGAAGGGUUUCGGCUCGUAAAGCUCUGUUGGUAGUGAAGAAAGAUAGAGGUAGUAGCUGGCCUUUAUUUGACGGUAAUUACUUAGAAAGUCACGGCUAACUACGUGCCAGCAGCCGCGGGAAUACGUAGGUGGCAAGCGUUGUCCGGAUUUAUUGGGCGUAAAGGGAAAGCAGGGGGUCUUUUAAGUUU
rnacentral:rRNA from 1 species